rnacentral:misc_RNA from 1 species
ACAAGAAAGUGAAGAACAAAGGGAGCUUUGGGAUUCAAUAGUGCAACUUGAAGUGGAGAAAUCUAAGUUUAAAGAAUAUGAACUUGAAAUUUCAGUUGUAAUGCCUCUCAAUAUUGUUGAAGAUGAUGAGCCUCGGUUCAAUUUUGAGCAACCAAUUCUAGAAGGAGAAGCCCGGAUUAAUGACAUAGAGCAAGAGGAGCUAGAGAAAAGUGUCGUAGGGAGUAAAGAACCCCAACCCAUGGAG